rnacentral:tRNA from 10 species
GCUGCUAUAGCUCAGUGGUAGAGCACUCCCUUGGUAAGGGAGAGGUCGAGAGUUCGAGUCUCUCUAGCAGCACCA